ensembl:lncRNA
CUUCAGUCACUGUGCAGGAGAGCGUCUGUCCAAAUGCACAUCAACAAAUUAAAAGACUGAUAAGGAAAGGCCAGGGGAAGCAGACAGGGCGUUGGGAGGAGAUUGGCGGGGUCAUUAUCUACCCUGUUGCUGCACUCUGGACUUCAAAGUGAAGCUUGGUACAGCUGUCACUGGUGCUCUGCACAGCUCGGACAUGGUCUUGACAGCAAGGGCAGGCGCUCCUGGCUACAGCGCGGAGGCCAGAGCUGAUGCUGGAGGGUUCAUUAAAGCAGGAAGCUUCAAUCUCUCAGCACUUCUCUGUUUGUAUUCCAGUACAACUGUUUCUUUGUCUUUCACAUCCUGUGUUUUUUCUUUCUUUCUUUUUUUUCUCUUUUGUUUCCAUGACCUACAGUAACAUCACACAUUGCUAGAGCUACUAGAAAUAGCCAGGUAUUAAAAUGUAACCUGGAACAUCUUGUUCUCUUUGUCUGUCUUCACCUCCUGUAUUCCAGUCAAAUCCACUGUAGCUUUCAUCUGUCAAAGGUUCCUUCUCUUUUUCUUCACCGGGCCCCGUUUUCCCUGCCUCCCCAUGCAAUAUCGCCCUUUACUGGAUAUAUCUUCGCCUCACUGCUCAUUUUUUUUGUCCUCGUCCCGCAUGCUCCUCAGCUCUUCAAUGUCUUUCCCUUAAUGACGAUAAAACAAGGUAAAGUGCAGGUCCCGACACUGUGUGGAACGAGGAUUAAUCUACAAUAAAUGACGGGCCGCUUUGUUAACUACAUGUGACAGCACAGAGAAGCAUGAUUGAGCAUACGUUUAGUGAAAUUGUGGGUAUAUGUGUGUGCGCGCCCAGGCUGUUGUCUCCAAUGCCUGCUCACACUGCUGUUUAAAGACCUUGUAAACUGGUAUAUUUACUUCCAUAAUGUAAUAUUUUCUGGGGAAACAUGUUGUUGAUGUAUUGCUGUGGAGAGCCUUCUGAACUACGAUGCCUGAGGAUAUCAAUUAAACUUCUGAUAACCUGCAUAUCUUUUUUGUUUUUAAACACCAGUAAAAGCAGCUAUACAAUUUUCCCAGUGGGUCUUUCUAGUGCACAGAUUGAGUGAUAUUUCCAUGUUGUUUUGUUUGUUUGUUUUCUCUGAGGUUUAAUUCAUUUUUCAUGAUAACCCUGUUCAUCUCUUUUUAAAGAAAUAAACUAAAAUAAAAAGUACAGAUUAUUUUCUUCUUUAACUGAUUAAUCAAGACUUGGGAGAACAAUUUCAUGAAAAUAAAACUGACAUUUUCUUGUUGCCUUGGGUUUGGGUUAGGGUUUGAUCGUCAUCAACGACGAAGGUUAAUGCG